rnacentral:rRNA from 1 species
AAGCGCCGGCUAACUACGUGCCAGCAGCCGCGGUAAUACGUAGGGCGCGAGCGUUGUCCGGAAUUAUUGGGCGUAAAGGGCUUGUAGGCGGUUGGUCGCGUCUGCCGUGAAAUCCUCUGGCUUAACUGGGGGCGUGCGGUGGGUACGGGCUGACUUGAGUGCGGUAGGGGAGACUGGAACUCCUGGUGUAGCGGUGGAAUGCGCAGAUAUCAGGAAGAACACCGAUGGCGAAGGCAGGUCUCUGGGCUGUAACUGACGCUGAGAAGCGAAAGCAUGGGGAGCGAACAGGAUUAGAUACCCUGGUAGUCCAUGCCGUAAACGUUGGGCACUAGGUGUGGGGGACAUUCCACGUUUUCCGCGCCGUAGCUAACGCAUUAAGUGCCCCGCCUGGGGAGUACGGCCGCAAGGCUAAAACUCAAAGGAAUUGACGGGGGCCCGCACAAGCGGCGGAGCAUGCGGAUUAAUUCGAUGCAACGCGAAGAACCUUACCAAGGCUUGACAUAUACUGGACCGCAUCAGAGAUGGUGUUUCCCUUCGGGGCUGGUAUACAGGUGGUGCAUGGUUGUCGUCAGCUCGUGUCGUGAGAUGUUGGGUUAAGUCCCGCAACGAGCGCAACCCUUGUCCCGUGUUGCCAGCACGUUGUGGUGGGGACUCGCGGGAGACUGCCGGGGUCAACUCGGAGGAAGGUGGGGAUGACGUCAAAUCAUCAUGCCCCUUAUGUCUUGGGCUUCACGCAUGCUACAAUGGCCGGUACAGAGGGUUGCGAUACUGUGAGGUGGAGCUAAUCCCUUAAAGCUGGUCUCAGUUCGGAUUGGUGUCUGCAACUCGACACCAUGAAGGUGGAGUCGCUAGUAAUCGCAGAUCAGCAACGCUGCGGUGAAUACGUUCUCGGGCCUUGUACACACCGCCCGUCACGUCACGAAAGUUGGCAACACCCCAAGCCCGUGGCUCUACGGGGAGCGGUUAAAGGUGGGGCUAGCGAUUGGGACGAAGUCGUAACAAGGUAGCCGUACCGGAAGGUGCGGCUG